rnacentral:rRNA from 1 species
CCUACGGGAGGCAGCAGUGGGGAAUAUUGGGCAAUGGACGCAAGUCUGAUCCAGCUAUGCCGCGUGUAGGAAGACGGCCUUCGGAUUGUAAAGCUCUUUUUUAAGGAAGGAAAACGCUGAUGCUACUAUCGGUAUAAGAUUACGCUAACUACAUGCCAGCAGCCGCGGUAAUACGUAGGAGGCGAGCGUUAGCCGGAAUGACUGGGUGUAAUGGGUGCGUAGGUGGUUUGGCAAGUUAGUGGGGAAACUCCGAGGCUCAACCUUGGAACUCCUACUACUACUGUUGGACUAGAGAGCAGGAGGGGCAGGCGGAAUGCCUAGUGUAGCGGUGAAAUGCGUAGAUAUUAGGAAGAACACCGAUGGCGAAGGCGGCUUACUAGGCUGCAACUGACGCUGAGGCACGAAAGCGUGGGGAGCAAACAGGAUUAGAUACCCUUGUAGUC